AUGCUUUUUUGUUGCAUCUUUUGUUUUUCCAUUUUAAUACAAUCUUUGGCUGUUUGUGGACUGGUUUUGAUGCAGGUUUGGGACAGCAAUAACGCAGCAGUAGCUGCAGGUUUUUGGACUAGGGAUGUAUACAAGUUAUGGGCAACAAGUUUAGGGGCAGCAACAAGGCUGUUUUUGGUAGCAGCAAUGGAAAACAACAAGGGCCAAAACAGUAGAAGUUAG